CAGUAAGCGGAGGAAAAGAAACUAAAAAGGAUUCCCUUAGUAGCGGCGAGCGAACAGGGAUAAGCCCAGCACUGAACCUCGUGUCUCCGGAUACCGAGGAAUGUAGUGUUCAGGAGAGAGGUGGUUUGCCUGUCCGGUGAUUGUCCAAGUCCCCAUGAUCGGGGCUAGAGUCCGCAGAGGGUGUCAGGCCCGUAGUGACGCACCGCGACCGUGAACGCUUGAUCUCCUAAGAGUCGGGUUGCUUGAGAGUGCAGCCCUAAGCGGGAGGUAAACUCCUUCUAAGGCUAAAUACCGCCACGAGACCGAUAGCAAACAAGUACCGCGAGGGAAAGUUGAAAAGAACUUUGAAGAGAGAGUUCAAGAGUGCGUGAAACCGUUCAGGGGGUUAAACGGGUGGGCCCUCGAAGGUCGAACGGCAUCUACUCCCGUUACCUGCAUACGAGCCUGCGCUGGGACGAGUCGCAUUCUGCGGCCGCCGAGUGUAGUACGCUUGGGGCGUGCAGGGACCGCUAGUUGGAUGCCUAGUAGGACUCCGCAACCGGCUGGGGUGAUACGGUCGUCAGACGGGUCUUGAGGAGCGGCCUCCUUGUGGGGCUGUCUUUUUGAGAUUCCCGGCGACCACUCGGCCGUUGAGUGCUGCCUCGCUGUUCCUCAUGGAUGGACGAGCGUUUUGACCUUUGCGGGGAGAAGCGUUGUCGGUUCGUUCGAGGCUCCGGUGAGAAGCGCGGAGAGUAGGUCGGGUCCCACCCGACCCGUCUUGAAACACGGACCAAGGAGUCUAACAUGUGCGCGAGUCGUCGAGUUGUACCAAACUCGAAGGCGCAAUGAAAGUAAAGGCUAGGCUUGCCCUAGCUGAGGGGAGAUCCCGUUUCUGCUUCGGUAGCGCGGGCGCAUCCCCGGGGCGUCUAGACUGCGUUGCCAGUCGGACGCACCUAGAGCGUACACGUUGGGACCCGAAAGAUGGUGACCUAUGCCUGGCCAGGACGAAGCCAGGGGAAACCCUGGUGGAGGUCCGCAGCGAUUCUGACGUGCAAAUCGAUCGUCGGAGUUGGGUAUAGGGGCGAAAGACUAAUCGAACCAUCUAGUAGCUGGUUCCCCCCGAAGUUUCCCUCAGGAUAGCUGGUGCUCGAAAUAAGACACGGAGUUUCAUCCGGUAAAGCGAAUGAUUAGAGGCCUUGGGGUCGAAACGACCUCAACCUAUUCUCAAACUUUCAAUGGGUGAGAAGCCCGGCUUAGCCUAAGCGAAGCCGUGGCAGUCGAAUCUGAGCGCCCAGUGGGCCAUUUUUGGUAAGCAGAACUGGCGCUGUGGGAUGAACCAAACGUCUGGUUAAGGCGCCCAAACAACGCACAUUCCGGAACCCACAAAAGGAGUUGGUUGCUAAAGACAGCAGGACGGUGGCCAUGGAGGUCGGAACCCGCUCAGGAGUGUGUAACAACUCACCUGCCGAAGCAACUAGCCCUUAAAAUGGGAGGCGCUAUAGCGUUGUGCCUAUACCAGACCGCCGGUGGCAGAGCCUGCCCCCUGUAAAAUGGGGUGCACUGAGGCCCCGGUGAGUAGGGGGGUCGCCGCGGUGUGCGUAGAAGGGUCUGGGCGUGAGCCUGCCUGGAGCCGCCGCUGGUGCAGAUCUUGGUGGUAGUAGCAAAUACUCCAGAGAGAUCCUGGAGGACUGACGUGGAGAAGGGUUUCAUGUGAACAGUGGUUGAACAUGAGUCAGUCGGUCCUAAGCCGCAGGUGAAAUCCGGCCCAGGGAACAGCGUGUCGUUAAGUCAUAUAAAAGUGUGUUGACAGGUACGAAGCGCUGCUGGGUUAGGCGAAAGGGAAUCCGGUUCUAAUUCCGGAACCCGGUUGCGGAUACGUCCGAGCUCUCGUAGCUCGUCAUGGUAACAUGACAUGACCCGGAGAAGCUGGCGGGGACCCCGGGAAGAGUUUUCUUUUCUGCUUGAGGAGUCGAGACCCUGGAAUUCUGUCGUGGAGCGAUAGGGUUUUGACGCCGAAGAGCGCCGCAGGUCUGCGGCGUCCGUGGGUUCUUGCCGGCCCUUGAAAAUCCGGGGGAGGGCCACGUGGACUUUCCAACCGGACCGUACCGAUAUCCGCAUCAGGUCUCCAAGGUGAACAGCCUCUAGUCGAUAGAUGA
rnacentral:rRNA from 1 species